UGAAUGAGCAGCGUGGUCGCGAGCUAGCACUACAACAAGCCAAACAAAAACAGUGCGAUUAUAUAUUCUUUGUGGAUGCUGCUGUGCAAGUGGAUGAUCCACAAAUGCUGCGCGAAUUAUUAAUAAUGAAUAGACAAUUCGUUGCGCCAGUGGUGAGCAAAUACGAUGAAUUAUGGAGCAAUUUUUGGGGUGCUCUCUCUGAUGGUGGCUACUAUGCGCGCUCACAUGAUUACGUGGACAUUGUGAAGGGCUCAUUUACGUGAGUAAAAUGUUUGUCUGUUUAUUAAAAUUUGUUUUAGAAAAAAAUGCAUAACCCAUGCAACAAACUCCUACGUACAUACAUAUGUACAUUUCGAGGGCUUAUAUUCAAUACCCUCUAUCUGCAAUUUCGAUGAAAAUGAGUUUUUGAUGGUAACGUGAGCUCCGAUUAAUC